rnacentral:tRNA from 1 species
GGGCCCGCAGCUCAGCCAGGUUAGAGCGCGGGGCUGAUAACCCCGAGGUCCCGGGUUCAAAUCCCGGCGGGCCCA